UUGAUGAUCUAGAGGUCUUUUCCAACCUAAAUGAUUCUGUGAUUCAUAGAAGUGGUAGAUACCUCAUCCUGGAAACCUCCAAGGCCAGGAAUGGGGAUGGGGCCCUGAGCAAACUUAUCUAGUUGCAGGUGUCCAUGCUAUUUGCAGAGGGGUUAGUCUAGAUAACCCUUAAAGGUCCUUUCCAACCCAAGUUAUUCUGUAAUUCUGUGAUUCUAUGACUUGAGCCUGAGUAUUUCAUCUUAAUGCACUUCUUAACUCAGCUUUGUAGAUGGCCUUUAGAGCUACAAAAGUUAACUUCACUCAAAGCUUGAUCCAGCUACUUGCUUCCACCAGAAAAUAGAUUUAAGUGUUAGCACUUGCUCAUAUUAGAGAGCUAGAUAGGGAUCUGCAAUACAACAGACUCUGCUAGAGGAAAGCUUUAUGCAAAAUUGUGAUGUUAAUCAUUCAAAGGGAGAUGCUAAAGGUGAGAACAGGGCAGAUUGCAGUGUUUGCGUGUUGGUGGCUGCUGCUGCCUUGUCCAUCACUAUCACAACAGGAGUUCUGCUGGAAAGCAACUCAUAAGAAAAAUUUAGGACUUUUCCAGCAGGGAGACUGCCACAGAGGAAAGGACAUCCUUCAGCCUGCAGUGACAGGGAUUCCCAGCUGCUCAGCAGAGAACUGGACAAUGAGAGCAACCUGGGCAAUGUGCUACCAUGGACCUGGGAAGCUGGAAAGAACAUGGACAGUAAGCUGCAGAUGAUGGUCUGGAAAAGCCUGUGCCCAUGUGAUGCAAACCAUUAGGGCCCUGCUUCCUUCAAAGAUAAAACUGACUGCUGGUUUCAAGGGCUAUUUAUUGCCAUGACAGUGACAUAUCACUCUGAGUACUGACUGUUAAAGGACUAUUAGCACCUACCUGAUCUGAAAAAGUACAAACAUUCAACCAAAAUUGCUGUAUUAAUAGACAAGUCUAAAAUAAAUAAACAGGAA